rnacentral:rRNA from 1 species
AAUAAUUACUAAGGGCACACAGGGAAUGCCUAGGCUCUCAGAGGCGAAGAAAGACGUGAUAAGCUGCGAAAAGCUGCGGGAUUGCAAAUACGAUUUGAUCCGCAGAUAUCCUGAAUGGGGAAACCCGGCAUGUUUGAAGACAUGUCACCCUUCUGUAAGGAAGGGGGCGAACGCGCUGAACUGAAACAUCUAAGUAGGCGCAGGAGAGAAAACAAUAGUGAUUUCCGUAUAGCGGCGAGCGAAGUGGAAAGAGCCCAAACCAAGAUUGUUUCGGCAAUUUUUGGGGUUGUAGGGCUGCAAAUAUUUUGAGAAGGUUGUUAAGUGGAAUGUACUGGAAAGUACAACCAAAGGGGGUGAUAGUCCCGUACACGAAUAGCAAUUUCAUUGAUAGCAGUACCUGAGUAGGGCGGGACACGUGGAAUCCUGUCUGAAUCUGGUCAGAACCAUCCUGAUAAGGCUAAAUACUCCUGAGAGACCGAUAGCGAACUAGUACUGUGAAGGAAAAGGUGAAAAGAACCCUGAAUAAGGGAGUGAAAAAGAUCCUGAAACUGUGUGUCUACAAGCGGUCGAACACUGUUUAACGGUGGACGGCGUGCCUUUUGCAUAAUGAUCCUACGAGUUACUCCUCGUUGGCAAGGUUAAGUGUUUAAGACACGAAGCCGAAGCGAAAGCGAGUCUGAAUAGGGCGAAAUAGUCAGUAGGGGUAGACGCGAAACCUUGUGAUCUACCCAUGGGCAGGUUGAAGUUUCAGUAACAUGAAAUGGAGGACCGAACGGAUAUACGUUGAAAAGUGUUCCGAUGACCUGUGGGUAGGGGUGAAAGGCCAAUCAAACUGGAAAUAGCUCGUACUCCCCGAAAUGCAUUUAGGUGCAGCGUUUGAGGUUAAGUUAUAUAGAGGUAGAGCUACUGAUUGGACUAGGGGGCUUCAACCGCCUACCAAAUCCUGACAAACUCCGAAUGCUAUAUAAUAUACUCAGCAGUGAGGGCAUGGGUGCUAAGGUCCAUGUCCGAGAGGGAAAGAACCCAGAUUAUCAGCUAAGGCCCCCAAAUAUAUACUAAGUUGAACUAACGUUGUGCGGUUGCAAUUGACAGCUAGGAUGUUGGCUUGGAAGCAGCCAUUCAUUUAAAGAGUGCGUAACAGCUCACUAGUCGAGCGAUCGUGCGUGGAUAAUAAACGGGCAUUAAGUAUAUUGCCGAAGCUAUAAAAUCAGUACUUAGGUACUGUCUGGUAGGGAGCAUUCUAUGGGCGUUGAAGGUGUCGGGGUGACCAUGCUGGAGCGCAUAGAAAAGCAAAUGUAGGAAUAAGUAACGAUAAUGCAGGCGAGAAACCUGCACACCAAAAGACUAAGGUUUCCUGAGCGACGCUAAUCGGCUCAGGGUUAGUCGGGACCUAACGCGAACCCGAAGGGGGUAGUGGAUGGACAAUGGGUUAAUAUUCCCAUACUUGUUAUAACUGCGAUGGGGUGACGGAGUAAUGAAAGGACCGCGCGCUGACGGAAUAGCGUUAGAGUGUAGUAUAAGGACUGUAGGCAAUCCGCAGACCUUGCUGAACUUGAUAGUACCGGGCGGCUUCGGCCAACUGAUAGUGUCCCUAAGGGCUUCCAAGAAAAACCUCUAAGCUUCAGGUUAUAACAACUCGUACCGUAAACCGACACAGGUAGUCAAGUAGAGAAAUACUAAGGUGCUCGAGUGAUUCAUGGCUAAGGAAUAGGCAAAAUUCUCGUAACUUCGGGAGAAGGACGCCAGUCGUAAGCUGGCCGCAGUAAAUAGGCCCAGGCGACUGUUUAUCAAAAACACAUGGCUUUUGCAAAAAUCGAAAGAUGAAGUAUAAGGCCUGACACCUGCCCGGUGCUGGAAGGUUAAGAGGAGAUGUUAGCGUCCGAAAGCAUUGAAUCGAAGCCCCAGUAAACGGCGGCCGUAACUAUAACGGUCCUAAGGUAGCGAAAUUCCUUGUCGGGUAAGUUCCGACCUGCACGAAUGGUGUAACGAUCUGGGCACUGUCUCAGCCAUGAGCUCGGUGAAAUUGUAGUACGGUGAAGAUGCCGUUACCCGCAACGGGACGAAAAGACCCCGUGAACCUUUACUAUAGCUUAGCGUUGUAUUGGAUAUCAUGUGUAGGAUAGGUGGGAGACUUGAGUGCGUCGCCAGGCGUCAUUAGUCCCGUUGAAAUACCACCCUUGAAUUUCUGGUUCUAACCCUUCCAAGGGGGACAUUGCUGGUGGGUAGUUUGACUGGGGUGGUCGCCUCCAAAAGAGUAACGGAGGCUUCUAAAGGUUCCCUCAGCACGCUUGGUAACGUGCGUAGAGUGCAAUGGCAUAAGGGAGCUUGACUGAGAGACCGACAAGUCGAUCAGGUAGAAAGUAGAGCAUAGUGAUCCGGUGGUUCUGCAUGGAAGGGCCAUCGCUCAAAGGAUAAAAGGUACUCCGGGGAUAACAGGCUGAUCUCCCCAAGAGCUCAUAUCGACGGAGGUUUGGCACCUCGAUGUCGGCUCGUCACAUCCUGGGGCUGGAGAAGGUCCCAAGGGUUGGGCUGUUCGCCCAUUAAAGUGGCACGCGAGCUGGUUCAGAACGUCGUGAGACAGUUCGGUCUCUAUUGUUGUGGGCGUUAGUUAUUUGAGAGGACCCUGCCUCUAGUACGAGAGGACCGGGGUGGGACAAUACCUCUUGGUGUACCUGUUGUGGCGCAGCUGCAUCGCAGGUAGCUAUGUAAUGGAUGAUAAGCGCUGAAAGCAUCUAAGCAGCGAAACUCACCUCAAAGAUAGAUAACUUUUAAGGGCCGUGGAAGACGACACGUUGAUAGGCUACAGGUGUAAAGUCAGUAAUGGCAUAGCCGAGUAUAACUAAUUACCCGUAGACUUAUAUUAU